CCGCCGCCCGCCCCGUGCAGGGAGGUGCGGAGAGGACGGGGCCAGGCUGCACCCGGCGGUGCCCAGCAGCGGGACCGGAGGCUCUGGGCACACGCUGCAGCGCAGCAGGUUUCCCCGCAGUGCUGCCACGGCCGCGCUGCUUCCCCGUUUUGGGUAAUACUACUGGAUAUGUAUGGCUGGGCUAAUGAAUGUAUCGAGACCCCACUGUGGCACGCACGCUAGGAGGAGCGAUCCCCCGUGCGCCCGGCGUGUGGCACAGCGCUGAAAGAAAGACGUCUCUGCUCUCCUAACCUGACGUGGGUUCGAGAGUUUGAUUCCGCAGAGCAGUUGGGCACCCCAGAUGGGACACUCUCUGUUCGGCUGCAGGACCAGUUGAGGAGGGAGACGCCUUUGGCGCGCCCUGAGAAUUGUUGGACGGACUCCCUCUGCUCAUCCGAUCACUGCGGGGACAGACGAGGACCAUCUGGAAGCGGACCAGACAAUCACUCAAUCUGUCAGGCCUCCCCUGCUUCAUUUCCAACCUUCCCCUCAGCGGGCAGCUUACUACCUCAGCCUUGUGUGGCAUUCCGAAUCUGCCAACUCUGGUAUUCUUGAGCAACUCCAUCCUGUAGAGGUGAGUGGAUUAGUUCUCAUACUCGAUUGUAAAACUGCUGUUAAGAAUUGGUAUUGCAAGAAAGAAGCCUUCUUUUGUUUUAUAAUACGGAAUUACAAAGUCAGAAGUAGAAUCCUGUACGUGGAAGUAUUGUAAGGAUGUUUUACUCGUCUCUUCUGAGAGGAACUUUGGGGUCUUUGGUGUGCAUUCAUAAAGUGCUGAUUAGUCUGGUGAUGCAGAUUGUUUUGGAGGUCUCAAACACUGCAGCCUUUUAGCAGAUACACGCUUUGAGAGUAGUCAUUGACGUGGUUCCAGCGUGACAGUGCAGCACACGGGUGUCCUUUUCCAUCUUUGGGCCCACCUUACUGCCUUUCCAACCUGUGCACUGAAUUGCAGUGACAUGUCAGUAUCGGAUCCCUCAGCACUGUGCUGAGCCUCACCUUACUCAUACUCACCCACUGGACGUUACUCAGCUUUAGCAAUCGUGUUUCUGCUACAGAAGGGCUUGCCGGAUAUCUGUAGUAUUGAUCCGGCCCGAAGGUGACAACCUUCCAACCUGCUGGUCUCUGCCCAUGUUCUCUGUCACAACAUCGUAUGUGUGUGCUCGCUGGAUGCACUGGUAAGAAAUGUUUUUGAGAAGAGAACUUCGUGCUUCCCAGAGCAGUAAGACUGUGAGGAUUUGGGAGGCUCUUCACAAACCUGAUUCAAGUGUGCAGACAGCGUGCUGUUAAAGCAGCCCUUCUCAAAACCAGAGCGUUGUGCUUGGUGUGACUUAAAUCCCACCCACAAAGGAGCAUUUCCUGCAGUCUCUGAUCUCAGGUUUGUGUUUCCCCCACUGCUGGAACUGCUGGACUUUCACGCCUUCACUGUGUGUGUUUGGGUCUCUUUAUUAGCUCUGUUUGUUCUACUGGCUGUAUGCAAACAUAUCAGGAGGAAAAGAUCUUUGAAAAUAGCUUGGAGAUAUUAACCUGAGGCAAGAAGGUGAAUUUUAUUGCCUUAAAUCAGGCUUCAGAGGAUGUCCUUGAACUCAGAAGCUUGGACUUUGUUGUAGCUUGAUAUUUACUGCUUGAACUUUCUUUAACUCUAGGACUGGAGGGAGAGCUUUUCUUCACACCUUGCUGUGUAUGAAAUCUACGCUUGAACUGCACUCGAGACAGGCAGAAAUGUAGCUGAGCAGAGCCUCCAGCAGCUCAGCCCUUUCCUUCAAACGAUGAAGAUGGCUUUAAUAUUCGUAAGUCAGAAAUCUCGUAUCAAAACUUAAUUCUGGUAUGGACACAGCCUCGCUGUGGAAGACGUGGCAGGUGUGGUCUUUGAGUCACCACAGGUGUGGGACACGUGAAGUAAUCUGGACGUGUUUCAAUUUCUGUGUAUUUUUCCCCAUUUCUCUGAUCAUUUCUCUGUAUUGCUGCAUCUGGCAGGGAUUGCUGUCCUGGCCCAGAGCUCCGUUCCCUCAUGGGCUGCACUUGUUUUGCUAUCCCACCAUUUGGGUUACACAGGCCAUCCACGUCCAGUGUUCCCAUCCUCCUGGGCCUCCACACACAUAGCAGUUAGCAAGAAAGAGCAAAGUUGUUCAACCUUGUCCUAAAGUUAUCAAUCUGUUCAUCCAACCUGUGCCUUGGUCACAGUGGCAACGUGCCGUUAGCAGUGCCAUCACUGCUCUCAGGUCACAGGCUCUGACAGCAGGCACUGGGGAUAAUUUCAGGUGAGGCCGUUCUUCACAUCCAGGCACACGGAUAGUGUCUUUUUCCAAAUGGACCGUGCUGGUAGGCGGGUAAAUCCAGUCGUGCAGGAUCUGCAAAAUAAAGUUAUAUACUACAUACAUAGUUCUCCAGAGCGGUGGUGAUCUGAGGUGGAUCUCCUUUUCUCACAAUUGUUUUUAAAACUGGCAAUAUCAGUAGUUGUUCUGUCAUGGGUUUGAAUUAAAUCUUGGAUUUAAUUAAAUCUUGGUCACUGCUGUUGAACGGAAUUUGAUUCAUCCUUGAUAAUCUGCAUCCAUUACUCCUCUCGUGACAUGAGUUUUCUUCCGCCAAAACCCAAGGGAACCUUUUUCUUUCCAUGUUUUUGCCAGAAGCUCCAAUUGGCACGUGCCCCAUUUGCAGACACAUUUAACUCUGUUUCUGCUUUUUGCAUGGGCCCUAAGUCUGAGGCCCUUUGAAGAGCCUUUGUUGCUAAUUCAAAGGCAACCUGCUGUUUGUUUCCCCCUCCAACUCUUCCUUGUCACUUUGUAUAUAAACAGGGUUAAAAUUUGUCCUAGGUAUGGAACGUGCUGUCUCCAAAAGCCAAACAGCCCAAUACACUGCUGUUCCUCAUUCUUAUUACAGGGUACUGCAAAGUCUAAAAUGUUGUGUUGAGUUUUGGGUAGUAUUCCCCAAUGCCCAAAAUGCCUCUGAAUUCCUAAAAAUGUCACUGUUGGAAUUUCAGUAGGAUGAAUUUCCCAGCCUUUCUGUUUCAUCUGAUCCACAACCAAUUCCAGCAUUUGUUGCACCCCUUCCUCGGUUUCCCUGAGUCAGCAUGUCAUCUACGUAAUGAACUGUUUGCAUGUGAGGAGGCAGUUUGGUGUCAUGCAGAUGUUCAGCCACAGUUCUGUGGCAGAUGGUUGGGCUGUGCAGCCGUCCCUGAGGCAAUCUGCAGACAGGAUCUUGUCACCUCUGCCACGGCAAGGCGUUCCUCUGCAAUCAGGAUCGUGAAGAAGCUAGCAUCAGCUAAAUCAAUUGCAGCAUGCUCUGCUCUGGAAUGGUUCCGAGCUUUUUCUGUUAAAGCAACACUACCUGCUGCAGCCACUGUGAGAGGCAGGGUGAGCUUGUUUAAUU